rnacentral:lncRNA from 1 species
GCCAGGAACAGCUCUGGGUAGAGAAUUUUUAUAAUGAGCAAAGGUUACUCUAGGUUACCUAAAUAGUGGGUCAAAAGUGACUUUAUGAUUUGGGCUAGUUCCUUGUAAGUUUCCCUGGAGGACCUUUUCUGAAACAAAAACAACUUCCAUGGAGUGUUAACCAUCAUUUAAAAGGUCAAAAUGUUUUUGCUGAUAUGUGGAAGCUAACCCACAAUAAGUGGGGGUGAGGGGAAGAAUUAGAUAUUCAGUAGGUUAGACAAAAGGGAAGGAAGGGAAGGGGGAUAAGAUAGAAUGAAUCUAAAAUAAUUUUCCCAUGUACACAUAUGAAUGUACAUGUGAAUCCCACCAUCAUGUACAUCUGUAAGAAGGGGGUCCUAAUUAGAAUAAGAUAUAUUCCAUGCUUAUAUAAUUAUAUCAAAGUGAAUUCUACUGUAAUGUUUAUAUAUGACAUGAAAAGAACCAAUAAAAGAAUAAAAAGAGAACAAUUGAAAAUAUUGUGACCAUCAGGUUAUUUUAUGUUAUCUUGUUUUGUGAAAAGCUUAAAGCCAAAGGAACUUAAUUAUCAUGCUAGUUGAAAUUGGCCUCUGGGAAACUUGACUAAUCCAAGCCAAUGAACCUAAGAUGUUCUGAGGAAAAGAACAAAAGAUAAAACUUCUCUACAACAAAACUAUUUCCUCUAUACUAACUUUCAAUACUUCACUUUUGAAAGAAGAUGUGUGGGAUUUUUCCUCAUAAAAAUUUAACUUAAUUUUCCAGCACACAACUGGGUGACCUAUAAUUAAAUUCAAUUCUGACACCGUUUACUAGGGCUGCUGCUUAGCUCUUAGGCUAAAUAAGGGCUGUGUCUCACAGGAUUUCUUCCCAUUUUAGGUGCCAGUUGGAAAUCCAGGUUAUCACUUGUGUUCUUACCUGACCAACUGCAAAUUGGGGGAUCCCAUGAUUUCUUCCUCAGGUUUGAUAAUUUACUAGAAUGGAUUAAGGAAUUUAGGGAAACAUUCUAUAUUUACCAAAUCAUUACCAAGGGUUCAAUUCAGGAAUGGUCAAAUGGAAAAGAUGAAUCAUGAAGAUAUGAUGGAGAAGAGACACAGCUUCAAUGUUCUCUCCUGGCCCACCACCCUCCAGGCACUACCUUCAUGUGUUCAUAAACCUGGAAGCUGAGACAUAUCCUUUGGGAUUUUAAUGUAAGUUCUGUUACACAGGCAUGAUUUUGUAAAAUAUUUUUUUUUUAACCUUUUGUUUUGCUGAGGAUUAAACUUAGGCAUUGAACAUGGUAAGGAAUUGUUCUAUCAGAGUCACACAUCUGGACCCAUAGGAUAGAUUAUCUCAUUGGUGAUUAAGUUAAUUUACAGCACUCCUCUCCCCAGAGGUUGCAGAGUAGAGUUCCAGCCGUCUAAUCACAUCGUUGGUUCCUCUGACAAUAGGGACUUUCCAAAAGUCACUUCAGUGCAAACUCAGGCAUGGAUGAAAGAGGAUUAAUAAUAAAAGGCACUCCUUUUCCCUUAACUAUUCUUAUCUCUUAGGGAACUAUGGAGAUAUUAGGAACUCUGGACAGGAAUAAAAAUAUAUAUCACACACACAUACACACACACAUAUACAUACAUAAGUAUAUAUAUAUAUAUAUAUAUAUAUAUAUAUAUAUACACACACACACACACACAUGCAUAUAUAUAUUCACAUAUGAAUAUACAUAUGAAGAUAUAUAAAUGAAGAUAUAUAUUUCUAAGAUAAUAUUAGGGAUAGGUAGAGGAAACAUGAAUUUCCUCUUAUACCCCAGAGCCUGUAAGCCUUAGAGAAAUUGAAAUACAAUUAUGAAACUUUUGAGAAGGAAAUCUUAUGUGUUUUAUUAAGUCUAAGAACAACAGUGUUGACCAAGAAUAAAAUCAACCUAGUUGAGAACAAAAAAAAAUUACAUUUAUUUGGGGCUAAUUCAGAUUUCACUCCAGGAAAAUAAAAAUUCAAGCAGUCUUGGAAAUAGUCCCAAAGGUUUUACAAAAUGAAUUUAUAACAUUAAAUCACAGGGGGUUGACAAUUACUUGUUGGUCAGGAAUUAUGAUUGGUGCUGGCAAAAGCCAAAGUUGUCCUGUAAGAAAGGGACUGGGUGUGGUUUCAAUCUCAGUAGUUUGGGGGCAGGAGUCCAUUGUACAGAAGGUCAGCGGAGGUUAACAGUCUUUUGAAAGGUCAACUCACAUACUUGGGUAGGUUUAUCUACAGACUAGUUCAAAGUUCAGCUGCUGACAUGUCUGGAGAUUUGAUUAGCAGUGGCCCUUCAUAAGUGCCCCUAAAGAAUGCUGCUCCAUCUUGAUUUUUUUUUCCUAGAUCAUAUAUGUAGUGCAUCAACAACAUAAGUUAUAAGUAUAUAGCUAAUAUAUUCCUCUUUCUCUCCUUUGUUCUUCCAACCUCUGUGUGCACUGUGGAGGAGAGCAACAGGCAAACAAUGGUCCUAAUAUUCUUCUAAACAAUAUAAUUUUAAGAACAGGAAUCAGAAUGGGUAUUUCUAAUUCCCACAAGUUUGGUUUCUUUAUAUUGAUGAGCAUGCAUUCUCUCAUUUUAUUCUCAAAACCACCUCAUGAGGCAGUGCAACAAAACUGUUCUCCGAGGCAAGACAGGUAGAAACACAGGGACACUUCAUUCUUCCCACAAGAAACUCAGACCUCUUUCAAGGUAAAUUUGCUCAGAAACUAAGAAAAUUCAGUACUUAACAUUCCCUUAAGUGGAAACACAAAGAUUGUUAGUGUACAAACUUCUGGGAUGGUAAUGUAAAUCCAAGGACUAAAAAGGACAUUGCUUUAGCACCUAGCCACUGCAUCAACCCUGGCAGAAGCAUACCUGAGUGGACAGUGACAUUAGCAUCUGGCUCCUUAGGGAGCCGAAGUUCAACAAAAGCCCAUACAACUUUUCCUCUGGGCUGUUAACCUAUCCUGAUAAAGUGCAUUGGGAAUUUAUAGUGCAUGUGUAUACAUGUAAGAAAAUUGAGUUUUAGUAAGCUUUGGGGGUUGUUCCCCAAGUCACUGAACUAGUAAGAGAUAGAACUAAGAUACAGCCCAGGAUCAUGAGAUUCCAGAACUGUGUACUGCUGCAUUCCCCCAUGUUAGGAAAUGUUGGUUGACCUCUCAAAAACUCUUUUUCCAUUUUGUUUCUCCUAUCUAUCUCCCAAGUCAAGUAUGACCAUGUAACAGCUCUGGGUGAAAAGAUUUAAAUCUGAAACAGGAUACUUAGAUACAUGUUUCCCUUCUUAAUAGGGCUAUUCCUUACCUCGGUCCUUUAUUUCUCCAAUAUGAGGCUGAGAAUAAAAAUAACCAUUAUGUAAUCAUUAGGGAAAGGACAAAAGAAUCACAGGAACUUCAGCAUUAGUGGAGUUCAACUGUUGAAUAGAGGUGCUUCUGGAUUUCUGUUUCUUUGAAAAUAAAUGUUACUGUAAUUAUCA